CGUAAAGCGCAUGCAGGCGGCCUGUUAAGUCAGAUGUGAAAGACCCGGGGACGUUAACCGUACCGGAAUUGCAUUUGUAAACUAGGCAGGCUAGAGUCUUGUAGAGGGGGGUAGGAAGUUUCAGGUGUAGCGGUGAAAUGCGUAGAGAUCUGAAGGAAUACCAGUGGCGAAGGCGGCCCCCUGGACAAAGACUGACGCUCAGAUGCGAAAGCGUGGGGAGCAAACAGGAUUAGAUACCCUGGUAG
rnacentral:rRNA from 1 species